rnacentral:lncRNA from 1 species
GGGGGGGGGGGGGAAGAAGCAAAAGUGCAGUACAGCGCUAAAUUGCAGCAUGCAUUAAAAAAUUGUAUUCAGUUUUAGUUCCUUGAAGAAAUGGAAAUGACUAACAAUACGCAAUUACCAAGUAUAAUGAACUCAGCUGUUUCAAAUAAUCAUCUGAUGAUAUAGAAGAGUAACAACUUGAAUUGGCUUGACCGCACAAAAAGACUUAACAUCAUGUGGAGCAAG